UGAACUGUAGCUUAUGAAAAGCAUCUCGGUUACAUCGGGAAGAACAUUGUUAUAGUGUAGUUUAU
rnacentral:tRNA from 1 species